CCUACGGGGGGCAGCAGUGGGGAAUAUUGGGCAAUGGGCGCAAGCCUGACCCAGCAACGCCGCGUGAAGGAAGAAGGCUUUCGGGUUGUAAACUUCUUUUGUCAGGGAAGAGUAGAAGACGGUACCUGACGAAUACGCCACGGCUAACUACGUGCCAGCAGCCGACGUAAUACGUAGGUGGCAAGCGUUGUCCGGAUUUACUGGGUGUAAAGGGCGUGUAGCCGGGUUGACAAGUCAGAUGUGAAAUCCUGCGGCUUAACCGCAGAACUGCAUUUGAAACUGUUGAUCUUGAGUACUGGAGAGGUAGACGGAAUGCCUAGGGUAGCGGUGAAAUGCGUAGAGAUUAGGAGGAACACCAGUGGCGAAGGCGGUCUGCUGGACAGCAACUGACGGUGAGGCGCGAAAGCGUGGGGAGCAAACAGGAUUAGAUACUCGGGUAGUC
rnacentral:rRNA from 1 species